rnacentral:rRNA from 1 species
CCUACGGGCGGCUGCAGUGAGGAAUAUUGGUCAAUGGGCGAGAGCCUGAACCAGCCAAGUCGCGUGAAGGAUGACGGCCCUACGGGUUGUAAACUUCUUUUGUCAGGGAGCAAUUGGGUCCACGCGUGGGCUUAGCGAGAGUACCUGAAGAAAAAGCAUCGGCUAACUCCGUGCCAUCAGCCGCGGUAAUACGGAGGAUUCGACCUUUAUCCGGAUUUUUUGGGUUUAAGGGAUGCUUAGGCGGAGUAUCAAGUCAGCGGGAAACAUUCGGGGUCAAACCCCGUCGUGCCGUUGAAACUGAGGGUAUUGAGUAGGCGAGAGGUAUGCGGAAUGCGUGGUGUAGCGGUGAAAUGCAUAGAUAUCACGCAGAACUCCGAUUGCGAAGGCAGUAUACCGGCGUCCAACUGACGCUGAAGCACGAAAGCGUGGGUAUCGAACAGGAUUAGAUACCCCAGUAGUC